UAAGUUCCUCAUCCUUAGACGUCACUUAGGUCUCUUACUUCCAUGCUAGCUCGUUGUUUUUAGGUUUUUUUUUCCUGGAACGUUAGAAAAUCUGGUGAAAUGCAUUCUCAUCUGCAUACUAGCUGUGAUGUCACUCUGCCCCUGCUACCUGCAGGGGUCUGGUGUCACCUCUGGCAAGCAUGAGUGCGGGUACAAUGGCUAAUCACCAACCAUUAACAGAUAAUUGAAGAAGAACUCUUAACAAUAGGUGGCUGCAACAUGCAGGUGAUGUGCUGCAGUUUUUCAGUGUGUGAGGAGGUGCAAAAGAAUAAGCUUACACCUCAACUUUCCUUAGUAGAGAGGAACAUGCAGUGUUCUCUUUUCCUGGGAUCUCUUGAGGAAGUUUCAUAGACACUUCUCACUCAAUGGAACAAGGAAAUAUUCUGUGAAAUUGAAGAAUAAUAAACUCAAAACUCAUGAACAGGAAAAAAUCACUCAGUCCGUAACUACGAUCCUUAUAAUUAGAGGUAGGAGCGGCAAAGAGGUUAGUCAGUUCUUUCAAGUAAAUAAUAAAAUCACUGAAUGCUCUGGUCUGUAAAUAUAAAUCUUGUCUUUUAAUUUUUUUUACAAAAAUAAAAAACAUUCCGGGUUUUAAUGUCUCUUAAUUUUAUAUAAAAAUUCAUCUUGCUUAUAAAGCUUAAAUAAUUCAAAAUGUUGUCUAGA